GAUGGCUAAGUUAUUGAAGACCCAUUACAACCUGGGAGAGAGUGUGUGCAGGAAAGGCAGAGCUGAAUCAAAGUUCUUCAGCUGGCUCCAAAAAUGCAAAUGGAGGUGUCAACCAGAAUGCAAAAAGAGUAGCCAACAGGCAGAAGCAGAAGAGGGAUCAGAUUCCCCCUUCCGUAACAAAGAAAUUGAUAUUGGAGACAGCCAAGAAGGAGCGGGAAUGCCUUUCCCCAGCCUGAUUGCUCAUGGUCUGUGAAAACAUAAAGGACCCUGAGCCAGGAAUUACUUUUCUCCAGCAGCUGAUGCAUUACACAGGAAAAUUAUUUUCCAGAAAGACUGAUGUCAAA